rnacentral:lncRNA from 1 species
AGUCUCUCAAGAUCCAGUCUCUGAACGUCACAGCUGGAAAAGUCAGGUGACAUUCGAGUCGGAUGCACCACGUUUUGAAAAACGGGAAAGUGGAGAAUGGAUUUUCUAGGGCCGGUACACACCUGCCCGGACUGGCCACGGGUCAAUGGCAGAAUGAAGGCUGAGUGCAUCAGGGGCCCAGCCAACCGAAGCAGCUGCCCCGAGGCAGUGGGAAUUCCACAGGAGCAAGGCCAUUCCUGUCCUGGCCGGGUAGACCACGAGGACCCCAUACGUAGCUGACAUUAGAGGUUGGGCAAACCUGGAGGGCUGCCUGCCUUGAUAUUUCCAUCCUGGACCCCAGACCUGUGAAGAUGGAACAGAGGCCAAAGUGUCGUUGGCUACCUCCAGAACAGAAGGAAAUCCAGAGCAGGUAAACCAACAGGAAGAGGUAAGGCAAACAGGGUCCUGGAGUCUGGGCUGGGAGUGGUUUGGGGGAAAGCAGCCAGAACAAAGGAAGGCGUCAGAAACGCCUGGCAGUGAGUCUUGUGGGCAGCGAUUUGGAGCUCAGGCUGUGUGGACUCUUUAACCUCCCUGAACCUCGAUGUUCCCAUCUGUGAAACAGGAAUAAUCCUCCUACUUCCUCAAAAGAUUAUUGCUUGGGGAUUAAAGAAAAUAGUGUUGUAAAGCAGAGCCACAGGUUUUUUUGACACUCAUCCCACUGGGUUUGGGGAUGGUGGUCCUAUGUCCUUUCUCUUUGAAUCUGGGCAAGUUUGCCACUGCUUUCAUCAAUAAAACCAGUAAAAUAUUGUAGAAGUAGCGCCACUUGACUUCUGGGGCUAGAUCAGAAAAAGCCAUAUAGCUUCCAUUUUUCUGUUUGCUGGAACAUUUGCUCUUGGAGACAUGAGCUACCAUGUAAGAAAUCUGAUUACCCUGAGGCCACCAUGCUGUGGAGGAAGCUCAAGUCAUAAGAAGAGACCACAUGAAAGCCUGCUGAUUGACAGUUCCGGAUGAACCAGCUUUCUAGUUCUUCCAGCUUCGGGGCCAGAUGUGUGAGUGAUGAAGCUUCCAGAUGCUUCCAGUACCCAGCUGUUCAAGUUUUCAUAGCCGAGGCCUCAGACUUCAUAGAGCAGAGGCAGGCCAUCCCUGCUAUGCCCUGUCCCAAAUUCCUGACCCAUGGGGGCAGUAAAUAUAAUCAAAUGGUGGUUUUUUAAAAUGAUCUUUUGGGUAAUUUUUAAAAAAUUUUAGUGAAAUAUAGUUUAUUUACGAUGCUGUGAUAAUUUCUACUGUACAACAAAGUGACUCAGUUAUACAUAUAUACACACAUCCAUUCUUUUUGAGAUUUUUCCCCCCACAUAGAUUAUCACAGGACAUUGGGUUAAGUUCCCUGUGCUAUAGAGCAGUUCCCCAUCAGCCAAUCUAAAAUGAUUGUGUUCAGGAGUUCCUGUUGUGCCUCAGUGGAAAUGAAUCUGACUAGCAUCCCUGAGGAUGCAGGUUCGAUCCCUGCCCUCACUCAGUGGGUUAAGGAUCACGCAUUGCUGUGAGCUGUGGUCACAGACUUGGUUUGGAUCUAGCAUUGCUGCGACUGCAGCUCCGAUUCGACCCCUAGCCUGAGAACCUCCAUAUGCCUCGGGUGCAGCCUUGGAAAGACAAAAAGACAAA